AGGAAGCAGGAAGAACUUUCCCUCAUCCUGCGCCUCUGGUACAUGCUGAACUCUGCCUCCCGGACAGAUGCCUCAGACACCAGAGCAGCAGAAGAAGGAGCGGGGAGUUGCAGGCUACAUUCCUAAGAUGACUUCAGUCCCCCUUAAAGUACCUGCCUGAGGAAAAUGCAAGACUGCUGAAAGAAUUUGCCAUUUGUUCCAGCCAACACCUGAAGACAGGGGCCCGUCUCCCCAUCACUGUGGGAGAGGAGGGACCUAAUGGCAUAAAUACCAGUUGGCAAACCCAGAUGGGUUUCACAUGGACCAACUUCCCUUCCUUGCGUUUUGAACUGUUUCACUCCUCUGACUUUACUGAGC